GCGAUGAAGCGGGAGGUUGCGGCUCAGUGAAGCCGGUUUUUCCGUGGAGUAUGUCCGAUUUUAAACCGGGCGA
rnacentral:ncRNA from 1 species